CCUACGGGUGGCUGCAGUAGGGAAUAUUGCUCAAUGGGGGAAACCCUGAAGCAGCAACGCCGCGUGGAGGAUGAAGGUCUUCGGAUCGUAAACCUCUGUCAGCAGGGAAGAACGGUCACUGUGCUAAUCAGCAGUGAAUUGACGGUACCUGCAAAGGAAGCACCGGCUAACUCCGUGCCAGCAGCCGCGGUAAUACGGAGGGUGCGAGCGUUAAUCGGAAUUACUGGGCGUAAAGCGCUCGUAGGCGGUAUGUCAAGUCAAGGGUGAAAUCCCCGCGCUCAACGUGGGAACUGCCUUUGAAACUGGCAAACUUGAGUGUGUGAGAGGAUAGUGGAAUUCCAGGUGUAGGAGUGAAAUCCGUAGAUAUCUGGAGGAACAUCAGUGGCGAAGGCGACUAUCUGGCACAUAACUGACGCUGAGGAGCGAAAGCGUGGGUAGCAAACAGGAUUAGAUACCCCAGUAGUC
rnacentral:rRNA from 1 species